rnacentral:misc_RNA from 1 species
CAGAGAACUUGCCCUUCGGGGUAGAUCUCCCACCCUGUUUACUAUACCUUUGUUGCUUUGGCAGGCCCGUCUUCGGACCACCGGCUUUGGCUGGUCAGUGCUUGUCAGAGAACCCUAAACUCUUGAUAUUUUGUUGUCUGAGUAUAAUGAAAUUAUUUA